rnacentral:rRNA from 1 species
CUAAGUACCCCGAGGAAAAGAAAUCAACCGAGAUUCCCCCAGUAGCGGCGAGCGAACGGGGAGCAGCCCAGAGUCUGAAUCAGCUUGUGUGUUAGUGGAACGGUCUGGAAAGUCCGACGGUACAGGGUGAUAGUCCCGUACACCAAAAUGCACAGGUUGUGAACUCGAAGAGUAGGGCGGGACACGUGGUAUCCUGUCUGAAUAUGGGGGGACCAUCCUCCAAGGCUAAAUACUCCUGACUGACCGAUAGUGAACCAGUACCGUGAGGGAAAGGCGAAAAGAACCCCGGCGAGGGGAGUGAAAAAGAACCUGAAACCGUGUACGUACAAGCAGUGGGAGCCUCUUUAUGGGGUGACUGCGUACCUUUUGUAUAAUGGGUCAGCGACUUAUAUUCUGUAGCAAGGUUAACCGUAUAGGGGAGCCGAAGGGAAACCGAGUCUUAACUGGGCGUUAAGUUGCAGGGUAUAGACCCGAAACCCGGUGAUCUAGCCAUGGGCAGGUUGAAGGUUGGGUAACACUAACUGGAGGACCGAACCGACUAAUGUUGAAAAAUUAGCGGAUGACUUGUGGCUGGGGGUGAAAGGCCAAUCAAACCGGGAGAUAGCUGGUUCUCCCCGAAAGCUAUUUAGGUAGCGCCUCGUGAAUUCAUCUUCGGGGGUAGAGCACUGUUUCGGCUAGGGGGUCAUCCCGACUUACCAACCCGAUGCAAACUGCGAAUACCGAAGAAUGUUAUCACGGGAGACACACGGCGGGUGCUAACGUCCGUCGUGAAGAGGGAAACAACCCAGACCGCCAGCUAAGGUCCCAAAGUCAUGGUUAAGUGGGAAACGAUGUGGGAAGGCACAGACAGCCAGGAUGUUGGCUUAGAAGCAGCCAUCAUUUAAAGAAAGCGUAAUAGCUCACUGGUCGAGUCGGCCUGCGCGGAAGAUGUAACGGGGCUAAACCAUGCACCGAAGCUGCGGCAGCGACACUAUGUGUUGUUGGGUAGGGGAGCGUUCUGUAAGCCGUUGAAGGUG